GAUAAACGCUGGCGGCGUGCCUAACACAUGCAAGUCGAACGAUCCCGCAAGGGAGAGUGGCGGAAGGGUGAGUAACACGUGGGAAUCUACCUCCUCGCAGGGGAACAACCUCUCGAAAGAGAGGCUAAUACCCAAAGGGUCAGAAAUGAUCAGAGUCGAAAGGCGUGAGGAGAGGAGCCCGCGGCCCAUCAGCUAGUUGGUGAGGUAAUGGCUUACCAAGGCUACGACGGGUAGGGGAUCUGAGAGGAUGUCCCCCACACUGGAACUGAAACACGGUCCAGACGCCUACGGGUGGCAGCAGUGAGGAAUAUUGGACAAUGGGCGAAAGCCCGAUCCAGCAACGCCGCGUGGAGGAUGAAGGCCUUCGGGUCGUAAACUUCUUUAGAGGGAGACGAGAAGGACGGUAUCCCUAGAAUAAGCGACGGCAAACUACGUAGCCAGCAGCCGCGGUAAU
rnacentral:rRNA from 1 species